rnacentral:rRNA from 1 species
UACAGAGGUCUCAAGCGUUGUUCGGAUUCAUUGGGCGUAAAGGGUGCGUAGGUGGCGUCGUAAGUCAGGUGUGAAAUUUCGGAGCUUAACUCCGAAACUGCAUUUGAUACUGCGGUGCUUGAGGACUGGAGAGGAGACUGGAAUUUACGGUGUAGCAGUGAAAUGCGUAGAGAUCGUAAGGAAGACCAGUGGCGAAGGCGGGUCUCUGGACAGUUCCUGACGCUGAGGCACGAAGGCCAGGGGAGCAAACGGG